rnacentral:rRNA from 1 species
UACGAACUGUGCAAACGUUAUUCGGAAUCACUGGGCUUAAAGGGUGCGUAGGCGGCUUGUUAAGUAGGGUGUGAAAUCCCCCGGCUCAACCGGGGAAUUGCGCCCUAAACUGGCGAGCUGGAGUGAGAUAGGGGUGUGUGGAACUUCCAGUGGAGCGGUGAAAUGUGUUGAUAUUGGAAGGAACGCCAGUGGCGAAAGCGACACACUGGGUCUCAACUGACGCUGAGGCGCGAAAGCCAGGGGAGCAAACGGG